rnacentral:lncRNA from 1 species
AGAAUUUCCUGAGGCCUAACCCUCGGAUGCCUGGCCUAGCGCCGGAAGAAUUUCCUAAGGCCUAACCCUCGGAUGCCUGGCCUAGCGCCGGAUGAAUUUCCUGAGGCCUAACCCUCGGAUGCCUGGCCUAGCGCCGGAGGAACUUCAAGAGUCAGGAGUCGGCGAGGCGCUACCGAGAGUUAAAAAGAGGAAGGAUGUCCGCCGAAAUCCGCAGACCGCCAGAUCACCGACAACUGCCAUACGCCAUAAAGAAGG